rnacentral:rRNA from 1 species
UGGUUUAAUUCGAAGCAACGCGAAAGAACCUUACCAAAUCUUGACAUCCUUUGACAACUCUAGAGAUAGAGCUUUCCCCUUCGGGGGACAAAGUGACAGGUGGUGCAUGGUUGUCGUCAGCUCGUGUCGUGAGAUGUUGGGUUAAGUCCCGCAACGAGCGCAACCCUUAAGCUUAGUUGCCAUCAUUAAGUUGGGCACUCUAAGUUGACUGCCGGUGACAAACCGGA